UAAUUGUCUGGGGGCUGCAUUGGAACUCAGUUUUAUCAAAAUUAUUAUUAUAAUCACUCAGCAAAUGUUUGACAGGUGUCCACCCUAGGAAAGAUAUUGUGCCAAAAAUGUGGAGUCUGAAGACCAAAAUCCACAGUUACUGCCUAGAAGGAGGAUCCGAAUAGUGGAAAGAGAGUCAUGCAAACCGUUAUGAUCCAACUCACUGGAGGAAGGCGUUGAAUUCAAUGGGAUCCUGUAAACAACCUAGAGUUUGCCUUGGAAAUCUUUACCUCACAGGGCAGCCCUGAGGAUGGAUCGCAGAGAACCAGGACGAGCAUCAGGAGUCGGCAUGAUUAUGAAGUUACUGUCUCUGAGCUCCCAGCCUGCCUUCCUGUGCUCUGCUUUGUGCCGGUAAGCUGGGAAACGGCAUUUCUGCUUUGCCGGUUCGGUUCUCUUUUGGACCCCGGCAGUGCGGUUUGCUAGAUUGCAGAAGUGGGGCGAUGAACGUGUUCUGCUUUGCCCAGGACUCCCCCCGUUUUAGCACCGAAAGUUCCGCCUCCUGAGAAC
ensembl:lncRNA